CUUGGGUCUCCUGAAGAUGAGAACGUUAUUAAAUCAGAUCAUAUAUUCAUAACUUAUAAUUGCAUUAAGCUGCCUGGGAAAUUUCCUCCACUCAAUUUGAAUAGCCAGGGUGGUGUUGAGUUCUUCGUUGAACAUGCAACUAAGAAUGGUAUGGUUCGAAGCCCAAUGAAAAGAUGUGGAGUGACUUUAUUGUAUCACAAAAAUGAUGAUUGGAGAAAAGAUGCAAGAGUGGAUGAAGAUAUGAGAUUGAGUUCUAUAAGUUGCUCUAUUAAUGAUUGAUUGAAGUGUGGUCUAUAUUGCUGCGGUUAACAUCACAAAUUUCAUGAUUUGGAGAGAUCUUAUGAAAUUUUAGAUAGAUGGUUUCCCCAAUAAAAAUAUACAAGCGACGGUUGUUACAUGAACUAUGGAUUUAUGAGAUUGAUGAAAGAUCUCAUAAGCGAUUGAAACUUGAAGGUUGAAAUGUUGUUAUAGAAAAGGGGUUGUUGAGUCCUCGGUUAACAGUGGGAAACAAAUUGAUGCCGUACAUUUCAUUCAUGCCUUCCAGCUUACUAAAAAGCUUUCCCUCUGUUCCCGUCUUGAAGACAUACUUGAAGAAUUGAAGGAGAAACUCACAGGGGAAGGGUGUGAGUUUGGGUGGAGAUACUAGUGCACAGACUGAUGUAAAUGCACAGGAACUUGCUGCUUUGAAAGCUGUAGUUAGUUGUGUCCAAGAGUACAGGCUUGAACCUUACUAACCUCUCGAUCCACUUCAGAAAAGGAUUGAACAACUGGAGAGGUAUCUGAUAAGAAGUGCAAGAAACAAAGAGCAAACUGAGGAUACUGUGGAUUUCGUUCUCACAGUGGCAAGGCAGCUCCCGGGAAGCAUAUAGAGGAAUGCCUGAGAGAUACCCUCAGGCUGGUCCAAACGCUCAUGAUUAUCAAGUUCCUGGCCAGCCUGUUUUUGCUCAGCAACCAAAUGAUCGAAGAAUAUGUUUUAUCCCCAAGAUGAUAGAGUUAAUCUAACUUCUUAAGGUGCAGUCUUCACACCAGCCAUUUAUGUAGUUAUCAAAUGCAGUAUUUGUAUGCAACUUUUAGUGGAUAUGCAGAGAAUUUAUCCCUUAUUCCGCUAUUCUUAUA